rnacentral:rRNA from 1 species
UACGGGGGGAGCUAGCGUUGUUCGGAAUUACUGGGCGUAAAGCGCACGUAGGCGGCUUUGCAAGUUAGAGGUGAAAGCCCGGGGCUCAACCCCGGAAUUGCCUUUAAGACUGCAUCGCUUGAAUCCGGGAGAGGUGAGUGGAAUUCCGAGUGUAGAGGUGAAAUUCGUAGAUAUUCGGAAGAACACCAGUGGCGAAGGCGGCUCACUGGACCGGCAUUGACGCUGAGGUGCGAAAGCGUGGGGAGCAAACAGG